UUGAGACUUUUGAUGCUAAAUUCUUCAAGGAAAAGCUUCUGAAAGACCAAUGUCAGUCUCCUGAGGCCAAGUAACAGCUGGAUUAUCUGCCUUCCAUGACUAGCCUAUCAGCAGUCUGAUGGGGCAGAAGACAUCAGAGAUGGAAGGUGUUCCAAACUUGGCAAAGGCCAUCAUUCUAAGGAGAUACAGCAAUAUUUAGCACCCUUCCGUUCAGUUCCAGGCACCAUCCCUUGUCAGUAUACAGAUAUAAUGCAUUCCUUUUAACAUUACCUUUUGUGGUUGUAUUUGAAAAACGUGUGUUCAGGUACUAUUUUAUACUCUUUACAAGUAAUAACUCACUUAAUCCUAAUAUCAUCUCUGAUAUGCUGCCAUUAUUCGUCAGUUAUAAAUAAGUGA